rnacentral:lncRNA from 1 species
GAAAGUUUGUUGUUGAUAUGCAUAAAUUCAAGAGCGAUGGAAAAGUUUUUCAUGAAUAAUUUUUAAUUGCAAGUAUUACAAUUUUGUAUAUUAAGAGCGAUGGAUAACAAUGAGAACAAUGUUGAAUCCUCUGAGGAGGAUUCUAAUUCUGACGACGAUUGUGGAUCGUAUUCUACUCCACCAGAGUAUGAACUAAGCCC